rnacentral:lncRNA from 1 species
AUGGGCCACCAAUGGAUGGCAGCAGGAGCCUCCUCCCAUCACUGCGUCCCAGGAGAUGCGGCUCCCGCUCAGCCCUGGCCCUCUCGCAGAACAACGAGCACCCCUCGCUCCUCUCUCGGCUGCACGCAGAGCCUGCAGCCGGGCUGGCAGGAGACACCUCAGGAGGAGACACACGGCCCUGCACCAUUCAGGGCAGCUUUGCUGAGUAGCGGUUGCAGCGAGUGUGCUGCAGAAGGACGCCCCGGAGAGAGGGCACGUGGCCUCUUUUGGUGCUGGUGUCACCGCCGCCCCUUCCCCAGCCCGAACUCUCCCUGGUCACAGCACGCCAGCCCAUGCCCCUGCCUCGCCUGUGUCUCUGUGCAGCUGCCUGGGAGCAGGCUGGCCGCGAGGGAUGCGCUGCAGGAGGCCGGCCAGUGUCUGGCACGGGGACAGGAGCAUUGUCUGCCCGAGGAGGAAGGUGCCGAGCCUUUCCUCUUCCCCGCCCCGCUUCCCACAGCCCUCAUCCGACAGGAUGGGCGAAGGCGAUGCAGCCUUCCCCCGCCAUGCGACAGCAGCGGGUGUGCAGUCACCUGCCCUCCUCCUCCUCCUCUUCCUCCCAGCACUACUCCAGCCCUGGAGCACCCGCAGGGCCGGAGGCGAUGAAUUAAGCUGGACGGCCUCUGUGAGUCACGAGCACAGGGAGCGCGGCCGGGUGAAGCACAGUGGAUGCUGAGUGCCAGACUCUUCCUUUGGGGACAGUCUUCAGGUGGAAAUGACUUGUUCUGGGGGGCUGCGUGGCAGGAGCAUGGCAUUCGAGGACUUGUCACCCCUUGUCAUCGUGGGGGAGCUCCCGCAGCACCUUGUGCUCCAGCGGAGGAGCGGGGCUGCCCCGAGCCCUCCCUGCAGGUUCCCCAACUGCUCCCCGGAGGUGGCCAUGCUCAGGCACCUCGGGUGCGACGGCAGCUCGAGGCAGGGGACCGUGCAGCAACGCCACCAUCGCUGCUGGGCGCCUGUUUCCAAGGCUCUCUUGCGGUGCAGCCAAAAACCAGCAGCUCUUUUGGGCUGUCUUCAGGCUGCCCCCUCCCUGCUCGGCUCGCCGGGAGUUGGGCACCUCCAGGGCAAUCCCCGUGCCCGGCCGAGGCAGGGGCUGCAGCCGGAGGCUCGGUGGCGAUGCGGGUGCCUGGGCGAGCCCCAGGGUGAUGCCAGGGACGUGCCCGCUCCCGCCGGGGCUGCCCACCCGGGUCUGGGAUCCGGGGCCCUCUGCCCCUAAAUCCGAUCACCGCCAGCAAGCCUGUUUCCAUGGAAACCGCACAGUGACUCAGGACUUUGGGACCAGCUGGAAAACACAACUGUGAGCAGCAGGCGCCCGGGGAGGCUUCGGGGGUCUCGGGGCGAGGCGGAGGGGCAAGGAGUGCAGGGAGCGGGGCACGGCUGCCUGCCCGCCCCUGUGCCCGGGCACGCUCCCGCCGGUGCAGGGGGGCACGUUGGGACACAGGGCGAGGGGAUCCCAGGAGCCAGGAGCCAAAACCCCUCUCCUGACACCCGCGCUGCUGCAGCAGACAAGUCCGCGCUGCAGCACGCUCGGCAGAGAGCAGAUCCCAAAACACGCCUGGCUGCAGGCAGCCCCCAGCCCCCCGGGGAUGGGGACCCACACGUGCGUGGG